AAAAAAAACACCUCGGUAGCCGCUUGAGAGAGAGAUUACGGUCAACCAAGUUCUCGCCGGCCACUGCCUUUCCACCACUGUAGCCGCUGUCUCUGACUGACUUAGCCUACUUUGAAUUCUAAGAAGUAAUGGAGUCGUUUGAGCCAGAUAAAAAUGGGUCGCAGAACGACUUGCCUCCUCCACCGGUUGUUCCGCCGGAUGUUGUUCCUCUUCGAGCAGAGCCUGAACUGGUGAAGAAGAAGGCUGUUAGGGUUCCGAUAGCUAGGCGUG
rnacentral:misc_RNA from 1 species